rnacentral:rRNA from 1 species
UGAGGAAUAUUGGACAAUGGAGGCAACUCUGAUCCAGCCAUGCCGCGUGCAGGAAGACUGCCCUAUGGGUUGUAAACUGCUUUUAUACGGGAAGAAACACUGCUACGUGUAGCAGCUUGACGGUACCGUAAGAAUAAGGAUCGGCUAACUCCGUGCCAGCAGCCGCGGUAAUACGGAGGAUCCAAGCGUUAUCCGGAAUCAUUGGGUUUAAAGGGUCCGUAGGUGGAUGAUUAAGUCAGAGGUGAAAGUUUGCAGCUCAACUGUAAAAUUGCCUUUGAUACUGGUUAUCUUGAAUUAUUAUGAAGUGGUUAGAAUAUGUAGUGUAGCGGUGAAAUGCAUAGAUAUUACAUAGAAUACCAAUUGCGAAGGCAGAUCACUAAUAAUAUAUUGACACUGAUGGACGAAAGCGUGGGGAGCGAACAGG